GUCUUUACAAAUAAAAAAAACUACCUAAAGUUGUUGACGACGAGUUUUCAUCUUUUGAAAACGUUGCAUUACACUCUCAACGGAAACUUGUUGUAAGAACUCCUUUUCAAUGUAACAAAUGCAAGAAUCGUUCAUAUCAUCCAAAACGAUUUUCAAGGGUUUACUAGUUGAAGAUGACGAUUCAAUGUUAGGUGGUGGUUGCCUUUGAAAAAAACUUGAAAUAUUCUUCUACAUA
rnacentral:lncRNA from 1 species